UACGAAGGUCCCAAGUGUUGUUCGGAAUCACUGGGCGUAAAGGGAGCGUAGGCGGCGUGGUAAGUCAGAUGUGAAAUCCCGGGGCUCAACCCCGGAACUGCAUCCGAUACUGCCAUGCUUGAGGGUUGGAGAGGUAGCUGGAAUUCUCGGUGUAGCAGUGAAAUGCGUGGAUAUCGAGAGGAACACUCGUGGCGAAGGCGAGCUACUGGACAACAUCUGACGCUGAGGCUCAAAGGCCAGGGGAGCAAAAGGG
rnacentral:rRNA from 1 species